rnacentral:rRNA from 4 species
CACAUGACUCUCGGCAACGGAUAUCUCGGCUCUCGCAUCGAUGAAGAACGUAGCAAAAUGCGAUACCUGGUGUGAAUUGCAGAAUCCCGUGAACCAUUGAGUUUUUGAACGCAAGUUGCGCCCGAGGCCUUCAGGCCGAGGGCACGUCUGCCUGGGCGUCACGC